rnacentral:tRNA from 2 species
GCCCCCGUAGCUCAGUGGACAGAGCGAGGGUUUCCUAAACCCUGCGUCGCAGGUUCGAGUCCUGCCGGGGGCGCCU